rnacentral:tRNA from 1 species
GGCCUGUUAGCUCAGCUGGUUAGAAGUGUGGUGCUAAUAACGCCAAGGUCGUGGGUUCGAUCCCCACAUGGGCCA